rnacentral:misc_RNA from 1 species
GUGGACUUGGACGUUGCCGUGUCAUUACGGCUCGUCUCAAAUGCUUGAGUGUAUCCUGCUUUGCAGUGUAUUCGGUGUGAUAACAUCUUCACCGUUCAGUCGAAAGACAUACUUGCUUGUGGGCUCUAUGCUUCCAACCGUCUUUGGACAAUCUCUGACAAUUUGACCUCAAAUCGGGUGGGACUACCCGCUGAACUUAA